GACCUCAAAUCAGGUAGGACUACCCGCUGAACUUAAGCAUAUCAAUAAGCGGAGGAAAAGAAACCAACAGGGAUUGCCUCAGUAACGGCGAGUGAAGCGGCAAAAGCUCAAAUUUGAAAUCUGGUACCUUUGGUGCCCGAGUUGUAAUUUGAAGAUAGUUUUCUGGUGCUGGCCCUUGUCUAUGUUCCUUGGAACAGGACGUCACAGAGGGUGAGAAUCCCGUCUGGCGGGGUGUCCAGUGCUUUGUAGAUUUCUAUCGACGAGUCGAGUUGUUUGGGAAUGCAGCUCUAAGUGGGUGGUAAAUUCCAUCUAAAGCUAAAUAUUGGCGAGAGACCGAUAGCGAACAAGUACAGUGAUGGAAAGAUGAAAAGAACUUUGAAAAGAGAGUGAAAAAGUACGUGAAAUUGUUGAAAGGGAAGGGUAUUAGAUCAGACUUGGUGUUUUGUGAUUAUCUUCCCUUCUUGGGUUGUGCACUCGCAUUUCACUGGGCCAGCAUCGGUUCGGGUGGUAAGAUAAUGACAUUGGAACGUGGCACUGCCUUCGGGUGGUGUGUUAUAGCCCUUGUUGAUGUUGCCUAUCUGGACCGAGGACUGCGGCUU
rnacentral:rRNA from 1 species